rnacentral:rRNA from 1 species
UACGGGGGAUGCAAGCGUUAUCCGAAAUCAUUGGGCGUAAAGCGCCUGUAGGUUGUUUAUUAAGUCUGUUGUUAAAGCUUAGGGCUUAACCCUAAAACAGCAAUGGAAACUAGUAGACUAGAGUAUGGUAGGGGUAGAGGGAAUUUCUAGUGUAGCGGUGAAAUGCGUAGAUAUUAGAAAGAACACCAGUGGCGAAAGCGCUCUACUGGACCAUUACUGACACUCAGAGGCGAAAGCUAGGGUAGCAAAAGGGAUUAGAUACCCCUGUAGUCCUAGCCGUAAACGAUGGAUACUAGAUGUUGUGUGUAUAAUACAGUAUCGUAGCUAACGCGUUAAGUAUCCCGCCUGGGGAGUACGCUCGCAAGGGUG